rnacentral:rRNA from 2 species
UAAACGAUGAGUGCUAAGUGUUAGAGGGUUUCCGCCCUUUAGUGCUGCAGCUAACGCAUUAAGCACUCCGCCUGGGGAGUACGGUCGCAAGACUGAAACUCAAAGGAAUUGACGGGGGCCCGCACAAGCGGUGGAGCAUGUGGUUUAAUUUGAAGCAACGCGAAGAACCUUACCAGGUCUUGACAUCCUCUGACAACCCUAGAGAUAGGGCUUUCCCCUUCGGGGGACAGAGUGACAGGUGGUGCAUGGUUGUCGUCAGCUCGUGUCGUGAGAUGUUGGGUUAAGUCCCGCAACGAGCGCAACCCUUGAUCUUAGUUGCCAGCAUUCAGUUGGGCACUCUAAGAUGACUGCCGGUGACAAACCGGAGGAAGGUGGGGAUGACGUCAAAUCAUCAUGCCCCUUAUGACCUGGGCUACACACGUGCUACAAUGGACGGUACAAAGGGCUGCAAGACCGCGAGGUUUAGCCAAUCCCAUAAAACCGUUCUCAGUUCGGAUUGUAGGCUGCAACUCGCCUACAUGAAGCUGGAAUCGCUAGUAAUCGCGGAUCAGCAUGCCGCGGUGAAUACGUUCCCGGGCCUUGUACACACCGCCCGUCACACCACGAGAGUUUGUAACACCCGAAGUCGGUGAGGUAACCUU